UAUAAAAGGAGAAUUCACACCGCAAGGUUCACAAUACUGAUGUGCCUAUCUGCAAAAUAAUGAUGAUGUCUGAGCAAGUUACCAAGACUGGCUGCUGCAUGCCAUCUGCAGUAGUUCAUGGAGACCACUACUUAAGUUUUGUGAGAGCUCCACACUGUCAUCUCCAUCAGGAGAGCAACAAUCCACAGACACAGUGCAGGGAACUAGUGGGCUGCAGCAUCAACAGAGUUGAUGUUCCAUGCUUCCAAGAACUUCCCGAAGGACAGCCUGAACUUGAUCCUGUAGUUGAUCCUCCCCAGCCGUAUAAUGCACAACAAGAUGUAUCUUUGGACUCUACUCCGCACAAUUAUACCCUCAAAAGAGUCGUGACAGGUCUCACAGUGAGAGUGGAUUUUAUGGAACACUGUACGCACUGAAGAAACGUAGCUUGUUGAAUUGGUAGCUUUGUUCCAGAACUCAUCCUCUCUAUAAUUAUAUGUUAUUAAUUUGUUAAAUAAUAAAUCUACUUUUCUUCACGAAACUAAAGUUUGUAAAUGAAAGAAUUUAA